rnacentral:rRNA from 1 species
GACGAACGCUGGCGGCGUGCUUAACACAUGCAAGUCGAACGGAAAGGCCCUGCUUUUGUGGGGUGCUCGAGUGGCGAACGGGUGAGUAACACGUGAGUAACCUGCCCUUGACUUUGGGAUAACUUCAGGAAACUGGGGCUAAUACCGGAUAGGAGCUCCUGCUGCAUGGUGGGGGUUGGAAAGUUUCGGCGGUUGGGGAUGGACUCGCGGCUUAUCAGCUUGUUGGUGGGGUAGUGGCUUACCAAGGCUUUGACGGGUAGCCGGCCUGAGAGGGUGACCGGCCACAUUGGGACUGAGAUACGGCCCAGACUCCUACGGGAGGCAGCAGGGGGGAAUAUUGCACAAUGGGCGGAAGCCUGAUGCAGCAACGCCGCGUGCGGGAUGACGGCCUUCGGGUUGUAAACCGCUUUAGCCUGUGACGAAGCGUGAGUGACGGUAAUGGGUAAAGAAGCACCGGCUAACUACGUG